GGGGGUGAAAUCGGCCCCAGAUUUGAUAAAAAAUAAAAUCUAGUAUCUUAACCAUGUGUUGUUGAUUUUACCUUCUAAAGUAUGUAAUAUUUUUCGUAAUUAAUUCUUUUGUGAUUAAUAUUCGCCGAAAGAGGAAUUUUCGCGUCCUUAGUUUCCAUAGGAACCAGCGUAUUUCUGAAAAUUAGCUGGUUUGCAGACCUUUAACUGCUGUUUUAUUGUUGGCCGCAGGUGUGCCCUUUUAUAAAACUUUGAGAAAAAAUUUAUCAUACUGUAAUUAAUUUAUGGUAUCAGUUUGGUAGAAGGGCACGCCUGCGGCCACAUCUUUUUUUCACUCUUUGUGUCAAAAAUACGAUGCGAUCGGUACUCGGGGUAAUUAUAAUACUAUGAUCGGUUUACUAGAAAUCCGGACUGUAAAACAGAAAAUGAUAUAUAAUUAUUUGGCUACAUGUCAGACAUAAAAAUUAUUUAAAAUAUUGUUUUCAAAAUCAUACAUACCAAUUUGCACGCACAAAUAAACUAUAUAACGCAUGUAGUUAAUUAAAUGACUUGUAUAAAUUCCGUGGCCAGUCCGGAUAUUCUGAAAUCAUUCCAGCUUCAAAUUAUUAGACAUAACCUGUCGUUUGUUUACAUGUUGACGAAGAAGUUUUGACGAGUGCUUUCGCUUGUCUGUCUACGAUCUUCUCCACGUUUUAUGUAUAUAUACCAACAAUGAAAAAUGAGCUGAUUCAGCAGAUGUGAUGCAGGGUUCAGAAAUGCCUGGGGCUGGUCCCAAGAGUUACCCUUGCAUUUUGUGCAAUAAAAGGACCAAGCUUGGGGAUCGGCAACCUGUUUCUUCAAAUAGGAAGUACAGCUGUAUACAGAUACUGAUGUACACUAUGUGCAAGUGAUAUGAGAAAUAGUUAAAUUAGACAUUAUGUAUUAAAUAAUGUUAUUUCGACAAGUUUCCUUGUCAUGAUAUUGCUAAUGUUAGCUUAAAAUGCAUGUACCAGAUAGUUUAAAUAUGGUUUAAACACCAGAUUAUGGAGCAGUGUGUGUGUGUUCAUGUAUGUUAGUGCUUGGUGCACAAGAGUAAAUCAAUUUGAUACAGUGUAUUUGUUUAAUUAAGACUACAAACACUAUGUAAAACUGGUUUUAACUUCGUAUACAAGCAAGAUGUGUAAGUAGUAAUUGGAGAGUCUAACAAUUGAGAAUGAGUACAGUAAAGAUGACAGGAAUUCUGAUAUCUUUUUAUUAUAACACUAAAGCUUGAUACUGUCACUACCUAUCAAAGUAUUUGUGAAGGAUUCUAUUGUUAUAGUAUGGGUGAAUGUGAAGGACUCUAUUAUUAUAUUAUGAGUGAAUGUGAAGGACUCUAUUAUUAUAGUAUGGGUGAAUAUGAAGGACUUAAUUGUUAUAGUAUGAAUGAAUGUGAUCCCAAUUUGUUAUAGUGAUGUUUCUGUGGUAUGGAAUAGAAUUAAAUAGACAGUUAUGGUCUCAAAUUAAAAUGUUUGUGUAAUGUUGUA